AUGGCGGCCGCGACCAUGGCGCUCUCCUCCCCGGCGAUGGCCGGCACCCCGGUGAAGGCCUCCAGGGCGGCGCCCUUCGGCGAGGGCCGCAUCACCAUGCGCAAGACGGCGGGCAAGCCCAAGGUGGCGGCGUCCAGCAGCCCGUGGUACGGCUCCGACCGCGUGCUCUACCUCGGCCCGCUCUCCGGCGACCCCCCGAGCUACCUCACCGGCGAGUUCCCCGGCGACUACGGCUGGGACACCGCGGGGCUGUCGGCCGACCCCGAGACCUUCGCCAAGAACCGGGAGCUGGAGGUCAUCCACUGCCGCUGGGCCAUGCUCGGCGCGCUCGGCUGCGUCUUCCCCGAGCUGCUCGCCCGCAACGGCGUCAAGUUCGGCGAGGCCGUCUGGUUCAAGGCCGGCUCCCAGAUCUUCAGCGAGGGCGGCCUCGACUACCUCGGCAACCCCAGCCUGGUGCACGCGCAGAGCAUCCUCGCCAUCUGGGCCUGCCAGGUGGUGCUCAUGGGCGCCGUGGAGGGCUACCGCGUCGCCGGCGGCCCGCUGGGCGAGAUCGUGGACCCGCUCUACCCCGGCGGCAGCUUCGACCCCCUGGGCCUCGCCGAGGACCCCGAGGCCUUCGCGGAGCUCAAGGUGAAGGAGAUCAAGAACGGCCGCCUCGCCAUGUUCUCCAUGUUCGGCUUCUUCGUGCAGGCCAUCGUCACCGGCAAGGGCCCCCUCGAGAACCUCGCCGACCACCUCGCCGACCCCGUCAACAACAACGCCUGGGCCUUCGCCACCAACUUCGUCCCCGGCAAGUGA
rnacentral:rRNA from 1 species